rnacentral:rRNA from 1 species
AUUGAACGCUGGCGGCAUGCUUUACACAUGCAAGUCGAACGGUAACAGGGGAGCUUGCUCCCGCUGACGAGUGGCGAACGGGUGAGUAAUGCAUCGGAACGUGCCGAAUAGUGGGGGAUAACGCACCGAAAGGUGUGCUAAUACCGCAUACGCCCUGAGGGGGAAAGUGGGGGACCGCAAGGCCUCACGCUAAUCGCGCGGCCGAUGUCGGAUUAGCUAGUUGGUGGGGUAAAGGCUCACCAAGGCGACGAUCCGUAGCGGGUCUGAGAGGAUGAUCCGCCACACUGGGACUGAGACACGGCCCAGACUCCUACGGGAGGCAGCAGUGGGGAAUUUUGGACAAUGGGGGAAACCCUGAUCCAGCCAUGCCGCGUGUCUGAAGAAGGCCUUCGGGUUGUAAAGGACUUUUGUCCGGGAGGAAACCCUGAUCGUUAAUAGCGGUCGGGACUGACAGUACCGGAGGAAUAAGCACCGGCUAACUACGUGCCAGCCGCCGCGGUAACAC